rnacentral:ncRNA from 1 species
AAAAACGUCCCCUUUGUACGAAAGGAAUUGGGUAUGUUAACCAAUAGUUUACUUGUUGUUUAUUAAAUAAGUAUUUUAACUAAAGUACCAUAUUUUGGUAGGCAUAGCAAGAAAGCCACGUUAAUUAAAGAUAAGAGCUGAAGGCAUAUAAGCACGAAUCUUAUUU